AGUAAUCAAGCAUGAGCAUCUGAUGCUAUAACCUGCACCUUCAAGUGCAUACAGGUCGAUCUGCCAAUAUCUCUUAUUCCAUUCUCCGAAAUCACCACCAUUGAUCCACUAUCAUCCUUCUAUCGUAACUUGCAUGCGCGAUUAUUCCAAUUCCUUUUUCACAGCAGAGAAGGCUAUAGCCUAUAAAAAGGACAGGCUCAGUAGAAGUAAGUAGUUAAGGCCAUCAAGUUACACAACACACACAUUUCAUAUCUCUGUGAAAGAGUUUCCAAGUUUCUAAAAGUAUGGCAUCAAUGAAGGCCGAGAGAGGAGUUGGGACUCAACUGUUUGGGCAGUCCAAGAAAGAACCUGCCGUCGCCAAGGCCGGCGAUGGUGCAGCCAAAACUUCAGCAUCUAAAGCAGGACCAAAGAAGGCUGCAGCCAAGCCGGCUCCUGCACCCAAGAAGAAGGGUAAAGGUGGCAAAGCUGCAGCCAAGAACUGACCAAAUUGCUGAUGAAUGCUUAUAUAACAAGAGACAAAAGCAUAUAGGAAAAAAAAAAUUUCAUUUCUUAUUGUCUCGUAAUAUUGUACUUUGGAAUUUGUAAUCAAUGAGUGCGAGCUUGGGAACUUCGAUUUGAUCCAUGUAAGCAAUUCCAUUGAAAUAAAUAUACCUUUUCAGCUA